GACGAACGCUGGCGGCGUGCUUAACACAUGCAAGUCGAACGGAAAGGCCUGCUUUCCCUUGUGGAUUGCGGGUACUCGAGUGGCGAACGGGUGAGUAACACGUGAGUGAUCUGCCCCCAACUUGGGUAUAAGCCUGGGAAACUGGGUCUAAUUCCCGAUAGGACUGCAGGGUGGUGCCUGUGGUGGAAAACGAUUUUCUAGUGGUUGGGGAUGAGCUCGCGGCCUAUCAGCUUGUUGGUGGGGUAAUGGCCUACCAAGGCGGCGACGGGUAGCCGGCCUGAGAGGGUGGACGGCCACAUUGGGACUGAGAUACGGCCCAGACGCCUACGGGAGGCAGCAGUGGGGAAUAUUGCACAAUGAGCGGAAGCCUGAUGCAGCGACGCAGCGUGGGGGAUGACGGCCUUCGGGUUGUAAACUCCUUUCGACCGCGAGGAAGCCACCUGGUUGGAAGGGUGGUGACGGUAGUGGUAGAAGAAGCACCGGCUAACUACGUG
rnacentral:rRNA from 1 species